rnacentral:lncRNA from 1 species
CCUGAGCUAGAUGAAGGAGUUUCAGACCUAGGGGUGAACGACACAUGGCUGGUUGGAGCUUGCUGGGCUAGAGCUGGGACAGAGCAUCUUCCUGUGUUGGGUUGUGCAUCUCCAUCCAACAUCUCUCACUGGGCAGAUGCAGCAUGAAAUCAUUGUCUUGAGGGUGAUGAGGAAAAGUAAGAGAGGAAGGGGGACAUGCAUUAACCAUGGGGUUGUUGCCCCAUGUUGUGCCACUUUUGACCUGGGAGUUCAGAGACAUUUAGUUCUCCUUGUGUUUCCUUGCUGGUCUGGGAACAAGCAUGCAUGGAAAGAGAUGGGGACAGAAAAGCAGGGUGAGAAACCAAAGCUGAGAGCUCCUGCUCCCACCACAGCCAGUUCUGACCAGCCAGACCAGAGCUCCACUGGAGAAGGACAAUGCAAAACUUUGGCUUUCUCUCUCCAAACCAGCAGGCAUGAGGCUGCUCCAGCAUGGAUGUGUUGCAGAUGUGCUGAUAGCAGUGAGCUGAGUGCUGACACUGCUGUGGAGGGGCUGCAGGAAGCAAAAUGUUGCCCUCCGCUGUUUGCAGCGUUGCUGGAACAGAGAACUCGCUGCGUCCGAGCCAGUCCAGUGCUUUACUCCAGUGUCACAUCCCUGGCACUGGUCAGGGGAUUUGGAGAGAGACGACUCCCACCCAGCCCACAGAUGCUGCAAAGACCUGAAAAAGGUCCCAUCACCCUCCCUGAGCCACCAGGAGUGACAUCCUUCCACUCUUAGGGAGAACCUUUGGAACCACCCUCACCAGAGACCACAGUGGACAAAAUAAAACCUUUAAAGGCUCAAGGUAGUUAAUACA